UGGGAGGAGCUGCAGCAGGCGGGGAAAUGCAGCGUCUCAAGAUACAGAGGAACCGCCCAGCACAGCCCGAGCCUCGUCCCCGCCCCUGUCCCUCCCAACUUUAGAGGUGGCCUUGCCCUCAGAGAGGAAAAUCAACCUGAACUAACCCGGAACGGCGUUGAGGACCAGCAGGCUGACCCUGACUCGGUCUGAACCCGAGCACUCCUCCGCUGCUCUGCCCGCCCGGGCCUGCCGGGAGGGCUGGUGCAUGAAGAUGUUUAACAACACAGCCGGCGAGCACGCGGGAGCCUGCGCCUGUGUCCCUGGCUCCUGAGGCCGUCCGAGGUCUGUUAGGUGGCUCGUAUUACAUUUCUGCAGUGUCAGGCGGGGUCUAUAAACCUCUGGAUAGAGGAAGGCCUUUCACGCAGUAAAGAGACGCGCUGGGCCUGGUCACCAUGGGAGAACCACACUAUGCCCGCCAGCCUGGUGCCCAGCAGGCAAACCAGGUGGUAACGAGACCAACAUGGACUUCCCUCCAUGUGGCAUGUCAGCAAAACGUGAAGAAAUGAAGACUUGGAUUUGAGGUGUCUGUGGCGGAGGACGUUGGCGUGACUGUUGAAGGCCAGUGCCUGCGUGGCACGUGUGUGGUCCUGCCUCGCACUUCUGAUGCUAGCAGGUCUGCCUUUUCGUAAAAACUCUCUUUCCUGCAGUUUGGUGUUUUGGGGGGAAUGAGAUGGGACCCAUCUGUGCAAUCUGCACCUGACACCUGAAGCCCAGCGUAACUUCCCAAGGUGACAGCUUCAGGAUUCAUCAAAGCUGGAGCUGAGAAACCAGGAAGACGGUUUACUCUGAAGAAUUCUGAGGCCAUGCAAAGUAUUUGUGAAAAGUGCAAAACAAUUCCAGUGACUUCUAUAGCAUCAACACAAUCAUUGCUGCAAUAUUAAAAUUUCAAGUCUUUGAGCAACUAAACCCACAGGAGAAAUAUGAAAUGUACACGUUGAUCCAACAGCUGAUUUGUAACUAAAGUCACUCUUGUAAGUUUAGGCAGGAAAGGAACUCUUUCUUUAUGUCCACACUGGGACCAGUCGAACACAGAAGCACCAUCUUCAGAUGUCGCAGUGCACGGCUGGACUGUCCCUGCCUUCCCAGUGCGGGGCCUUGAGAGGCAUCCCAGUGGGUUCUGUGGGCCCCAACACACCAGGCAGAAGCCACCUCUCCUGGGCAGGGCCAUCUAUCCUGCCCCACACAAAGGAACUGACUCAGAUCUGCAACAGAGGGGACACAGGGCAUGUUCUGGAAAGGUGCCCAGUGUGACCCCAGCUGGGGUCUGGAACUUACGGGGUCCAAAAAGAGUCACCACCCAGGCCACCCAGGGAGCAGUGAGUACACGGGGGACGGGCAGGGGGAUUCUGGACACUCGCUGUGCAUUCAUUUAACUCAUCACCGGCAGCUUGGAGACAAAGGAGGGAGGGCGGCCUUGCUGGGCCUGGGGAAGAGCUUCUGGGACACCAUGCUGGCCAGAGAAACAUGGCAGUGACACACGGAGAACUGUGAAGAAGGGCCUUCCUUCCCUGGCCCCACUUCUUCACGAAGCCCCCAGCCAGGUGCAAAUCAGCCCAGAGAAGGCACCUGUGCCAGCAAGGCCUCGUCCCCUCCACCUGGUCAGCUCUGCGCAGUGGGGAUUGGCGGCAAGCAUUGCACCUUCAAGCAUUGCACCUUCACGGGGCUGGAGCCGGAUCGGCCCACAAUCCCAGGAUCUAGAUGGAGGGUGGGCACCUGCUGGGAAGAGAACGGAGAAGGCAGUGGGGCUCCCCCGGCCUCCUGUGGCACUCAGGGCCAAGGAAUGGCUCUUUUCCAGCCAGAGCAUGGGUAGAGGCCACCUGCGUUCACCUCAGAGUAAGCGAGGUUAGAAGGGGCUUCUUCCCAUGACAGCUGAGCGAACAGGGGACCCCAGACAUGCGAACACUCUGCUCCCUUCACAUCCCAGGCACACCCCACACAAACUGGG
rnacentral:lncRNA from 10 species